rnacentral:rRNA from 1 species
CCUACGGGAGGCAGCAGUGAGGAAUAUUGGUCAAUGGCCGUAAGGCUGAACCAGCCAAGUCGCGUGAAGGAAGAAGGAUCUAUGGUUUGUAAACUUCUUUUAUAGGGGAAUAAAGGUAUCCACGUGGGGAUAUUUGCAUGUACCCUAUGAAUAAGCAUCGGCUAACUCCGUGCCAGCAGCCGCGGUAAUACGGAGGAUGCGAUCGUUAUCCGGAUUUAUUGGGGUUAAAGGGUGCGUAGGUUGUUUUUUAAGUCAGCGGUGAAAGUUUGUGGCUCAACCAUAAAAUUGCCGUUGAAACUGGAAGACGUGAGUGUGUUUGAGGUAGGCGGAAUGCGUGGUGUAGCGGUGAAAUGCAUAGAUAUCACGCAGAACUCCGAUUGCGAAGGCAGCUUACUAAGCCAUAACUGACACUGAAGCACGAAAGCGUGGGGAUCAAACAGGAUUAGAUACCCCUGUAGUC